UACGUAGGGGGCAAGCGUUGUCCGGAUUUAUUGGGCGUAAAGCGCUCGCAGGUGGUUCGUUGCGUCGUGCGUGAAAGACCCCGGCUCAACUGGGGGGUGUCGUGCGAUACGGGCGAACUGGAGGCCAGUAGGGGGAUGCGGAAUUCCGGGUGUAGUGGUGGAAUGCGUAGAGAUCCGGAGGAACACCAGCGGCGAAGGCGGCAUCCUGGACUGGUCCUGACACUCAGGAGCGAAAGCGUGGGGAGCGAGCCGG
rnacentral:rRNA from 1 species